AGGCCUUGACAUCCCGGUCGCGGAUUCCUGAAAGGGAGUCUUUCAGUUUGGCUGGACCGGUGACAGGUGCUGCAUGGCUGUCGUCAGCUCGUGUCGUGAGAUGUUGGGUUAAGUCCCGCAACGAGCGCAACCCUCGCCCUUAGUUGCCAUCAUUCAGUUGGGCACUCUAAGGGGACUGCCGGUGAUAAGCCGCGAGGAAGGUGGGGAUGACGUCAAGUCCUCAUGGCCCUUACGGCCUGGGCCACACACGUGCUACAAUGGCGGUGACAAUGGGCAGCAAAGGCGCGAGCCGGAGCUAAUCUCAAAAAGCCGUCUCAGUUCGGAUUGGAGUCUGCAACUCGACUCCAUGAAGUUGGAAUCGCUAGUAAUCGUGGAUCAGCACGCCACGGUGAAUACGUUCCCGGGCC
rnacentral:rRNA from 1 species